GUGUGCCUCAGAGUCUUACUCCACCCACGUAUCAAUUUUAAAAACUGCAACAUUGGUAGGCGUUGCCUGGAGGACCGAGAGGGCAGAGCCGCGGCAGUGACGAAGACAACGGCUAACUAGACGAAGCUAGCUCCCUUCACUCUGAGCAGUCAUUAGAAGUGGAGGACGUUUCUCCCCCUCCUUACCCAGACACUCGAGAAGAAAGGGACCAAGUCUAUUUGGAGGAGACAAGCGGACCUGAGCCUUAUUGUUUUGAGCUUGUGAGUUGCCUGAAAUUACCGGAACCGACCCAACAGAACCAUCUCUGAAUGUGAUCCUCUGGUGUCUGCAGCUGGUCUCCUGCUGGUGUCGUCAGGAUCAGGAGCUUCCAGAAGAAUGUGCCUUUCAAUGACUCUUUCCCCCUUAUUUGUUAUAUUAAUUAAAUAAAUCUCAAUUUAUAUAUUUCCUGUUUUUGUUCAUGUCCAUAAAUACUUAAACAUGCUUGAAAUUAAAACGAGCUUUUAACAGU